UACGUAGGGUGCGAGCGUUGUCCGGAAUUAUUGGGCGUAAAGAGCUCGUAGGCGGUUUGUUGCGUCGGCCGUGAAAACCUGCAGCUUAACUGUGGGCCUGCGGCCGAUACGGGCAGACUUGAGUUCGGUAGGGGAGACUGGAAUUCCUGGUGUAGCGGUGAAAUGCGCAGAUAUCAGGAGGAACACCGGUGGCGAAGGCGGGUCUCUGGGCAUCUCCUGACGCUGAGGCGCGAAAGCGUGGGGAGCAAACGGG
rnacentral:rRNA from 1 species